GAUCCAAAUAACAAAACAUAUUAAUAAUAAUUCAUAAAAGUAUAAUGUAUCUUAUUAAAUCUUAACAAAUAAAAGGAAGUACAAAUCCAAAAUAUUAAUAUCACAGUAACUUAAAAAUAAACUUAUAUUUUGAUGUAAAUAGCUAAUGUCAUUAUAUGACUAAUCCUAACGAAUAAUAGUCUUCAAAUAAUUUAUGGAACUCUUUAUCAUAUUGAAAUCUUCGACCCGCUAAAUUAUUGAUCAUCAAAUUGUAUGACCUGAAAUUAUAAAAUAACUAGGUCAGUAGAUGAAAUAUAUAAGCACGGUACAUGUUCGCAUAAGCAAGCAAAUCUUCUUUUUCUACUAGCCAUCGCUAAAUAUAAGAGGAAUGCAAGACAGAGAUAAUCACACAAUGUAGACAGCAAAAACAUACAAACUUUAUGCAAGAUUUGGAGGGAUUUCACUUGAGAAGAAGUUGUAGUUCUACACUAAAUAUUCUGCUCAUAUGAAAAGCUCCAUUUACUCCCAAUCAGAUGAAUUACCAAUAGAAGUAUGAUGCUUAUAUUUCCUUCUACUUCCUAAUAAUUGUAUAUGAAUUUACCAAAUGUGUGGUUAUAUACCAAUUGUGCACUUUCAGUGAACAAUUAGAUUUGCACUUCCAAAUGUGUGCGUAUAUACCAACUGUGCACACAACAAUCAAAAUCAUUUCAAAGUUGGAGGGAAGGGAGAUUAUUGUAAGGGAUAAUAAUCGAUUCCACUACUUCAGUAAAGGGCAAUGUUCUUGUAAAGACUAUUGGUAGUCAUGUCAUUUUGUGUACAAACUACAAUAUCUGAUGCUCAGCUCGCAGAUAAGCAUAUUUACUAGUUACAGAAAAAUAGUUAGGCCAGUUUGGCUAAUGCCAUUUGCUGGAUCUUUACAGCAUUCUCAGAAUCAAGGCCUUAAGACGGCUUAUGACAACUCUGUUUGGCUGGUUACUUUGUUCUACCAACAAUAUUUUUAUUGUGGAUAGAAGUAUUAGAUUUGCACUUCCUAAUUAGAUUUAUCAUAUGGGAGGCUUGUUCUUUUGACCCAUAUCCUUAUUAACAACUUGCACUUUGCACAAGUUUCCAGAGGAAUUCAAGGUCCCCCAGUCAAUGCUAAUGUGUUUAAUACUUGAUUUGAAUAACCCCAGGUCAACAAAAAGAGUUCUGUUUUGCCUAAUAACCAACAAAACUAAACAAAGGCUAAAAUAAAUUAUUGAGAGCAAGAGUAAUAACUAUGUGAGUAAUGGAGUAGGCAGUGAGAACAACAACCACUAGCAAAAAGUAGUUAAGCAAAAGCAUUUGGGUAUAUGAAACCAGAUUCUAGUGAUAAAAUAAAUUGAAGGAGGAAAAUUCAAACAGUAGCGCGCUAAAGGAUAAAGAUGUACUGUGAGAAAGUAAAGUAUUUUUAGCAACACUAGGUAUCCUUGUUG
rnacentral:lncRNA from 1 species